rnacentral:rRNA from 1 species
AAGAACUACAGGGAUUGCCUUAGUAGCGGCGAGUGAAGCGGCAAAAGCUCAAAUUUGAAAUCUGGCUCUUUCAGAGUCCGAGUUGUAAUUUGAAGAAGGUAUCUUUGGGUCUGGCUCUUGUCUAUGUUUCUUGGAACAGAACGUCACAGAGGGUGAGAAUCCCGUGCGAUGAGAUGAUCCAGGCCUAUGUAAAGUUCCUUCGAAGAGUCGAGUUGUUUGGGAAUGCAGCUCUAAGUGGGUGGUAAAUUCCAUCUAAAGCUAAAUAUUGGCGAGAGACCGAUAGCGAACAAGUACAGUGAUGGAAAGAUGAAAAGAACUUUGAAAAGAGAGUGAAAAAGUACGUGAAAUUGUUGAAAGGGAAGGGCUUGAGAUCAGACUUGGUAUUUUGUAUGUUACUUCUUCGGGGGUGGCCUCUACAGUUUAUCGGGCCAGCAUCAGUUUGGGCGGUAGGAGAAUUGCGUUGGAAUGUGGCACGGCUUCGGUUGUGUGUUAUAGCCUUCGUCGAUACUGCCAGCCUAGACUGAGGACUGCGGUUUAUACCUAGGAUGUUGGCAUAAUG